rnacentral:rRNA from 1 species
CCUACGGGUGGCAGCAGUGGGGAAUAUUGGGCAAUGGAGGCAACCCUGACCCAGCAACGCCGCGUGAAUGAAGAAGGUCUUCGGGUUGUAAAGUUCUUUUGUCAGGGACGAAGCAAGUGACGGUACCUUAGGAAUAAGCCACGGCUAACUACGUGCCAGCAGCCGCGGUAAUACGUAGGAGGCAAGCGUUAUCCGGAUUGACUGGGUGUAAAGGGCGUGUAGGUGGGUAUGCAAGUCAGUAGUGAAAAUCAGGAGCUCAACCUCGGGACUACAUUUAAAACUGUUGGUCUUGAGUGCAGGAGGGGCAAUCGGAAUUCCUGGUGUAGCGGUGGAAUGCGUAGAUAUUAGGAGGAACACCAGUGGCGAAGGCGGAUUGCUGGACAGUAACUGACGCUGAGGCGCGAAAGCGUGGGGAGCAAACAGGAUUAGAUACCCGGGUAGUC